CUACGGGACGCUGCAGUGGGGAAUCUUGCACAAUGGGCGAAAGCCUGAUGCAGCCAUGCCGCGUGAAUGAUGAAGGCCCUAGGGUUGUAAAAUUCUUUCGCCAGGGAUGAUAAUGACAGUACCUGGUAAAGAAGCACCGGCUAACUUCGUGCCAGCAGCCGCGGUAAUACGAAGGGUGCUAGCGUUGUUCGGAAUUACUGGCGUAAAGCGCGCGUAGGCGGGUUUUUAAGUCAGAUGUGAAAUCCCGGGGCUCAACCUCGGAACUGCAUUUGAAACUGGGAACCUAGAGAUCAGGAGAGGUUGGCGGAAUACCGAGUGUAGAGGUGAAAUUCGUAGAUAUUCGGUGGAACACCAGUGGCGAAGGCGGCCAACUGGACUGAUACUGACGCUGAGGUGCGAAAGUGUGGGGAGCAAACAGGAUUAGAUACCCGCGUAGUC
rnacentral:rRNA from 1 species